AUUGGUCCGGGGGCGGGGCCCGCGCUGGGGCGCCCGGGUUACACAACCGAAGACGAGUGGGCGGGGGCGAAGGCGCCAGCGCACGUUACAUAACGGCGGGGUCGGUCGGAGGUGGCGCUCGACCAAUCCCGACUGGCUGGCGCGUGAGGGUCUUGGAGGACCCGGGCAGUAUGGAAGCCCUGGAGAAAUCAAACCCGAUUAUCAGAAACGGAAUUCCGACAGUGAAACUUAACCAUUUCCCUGGUCUUCUUAAAGCUAGAUUCAUUUGGCAGCUGGAGGAAGACAACUGUAUGUAAAAGACACUGUUUCAGAAAAGGAAGGUGUAGAGAAGCCCUUUAAAAAAAAAAACCAGUCUGAAGGCACCUUUUAGAUUGUGUCUCAAGUCAUCCAAAAUGGAAAGUACAGUGCAGAACUCCGACCCUCUCCAGUGCCUGAGAAAUACCUCAUCCACUUGAUUCUGUGUCUGCUGAAGUCUUCGACUACUGCCAGAGGCAGAGCUUGCACCUGCAGGCGCAGCUGUAGACCUGAAACAUGCAGAGGCACGAGGAAAUUACGAUUCCAAGUACGUUUCUGUGAGCAGUGAGCAGGCUGGAAGGGUGACAGAGGGUCCUUGUGAUUCUUGACAGCAUUCUCUGGAUGUCACCAUGGGAAACUCCACGUUUUCAAGAGCCACUAAAAGAGUGCUUCUGCUUCAAAAGAGAGAGAGGGCCCACAGCUACGCUAUGCUCCUGAGUCCACUCUGACCACAGGUGCCUCAAGGCAGAGCCAAGGUCCUUCCCCAGCAACUUCCGGAGCCCAGCCCAGCAUCAGGCAGCGAGCAGGCGCUCCAAGACCGAGGCAGCGGCCACCACUCCUCUCAGGGAUCUUGAGGGGAAGGAGAAGGGGAAGGGAAAGAGGUGGGGCGGAACAGGGGCGGGGUGGGGGGCGCUCCCCACCCCCGGGAAGUCCCCGCCGCCCCGCCCUCGUCCCUUCCGCGUCGUCCGAAGGCCGCGGGGCCCUUCGGGGCGGUCGGCUGUGCCUCGGGGUCGGCCCGGCCCAUCUGCAGCCCGCAACCCCGGGGCCGCCGCCCACCCCAGGCCUCGGGAGCCCCCGCAGUCUCGGCCCGCCUCCAAGCGGCGGGCGGUGGGACCCGGCCAAGCAGGGGUGCCAGCCGUGGGCCGCCGUCCCCGGGGCCCGAGGCCGCCUCGCGUCGUGU